AUGAGGACAGUCUGCUCCGAGAGCUCGUGGACAAGCUGAGGAUCGGAAACUUCAUCCCAUACACGCAGAUGAGUUAUUUUAUGGAGGGUCGGGACCCGGCUCAGCUGAUCUACAGGUGGAACCAGGUUUUAGACCCGAGCCUGAAGAAAGGAAUGUGGACCAAAGAGGAGGACGAGCUGCUGCUGAAGGCCGUGGCUCGCUGUGGAGAGAAGAACUGGUGGAAGAUCCGGCUGGAGGUUCCUGGACGCACCGACUCUGGCUGCAG